GUUGUAUGGUUAAGUGACUAAGCGUACACGGUGGAUGCCUUGGCAGUCAGAGGCGAUGAAGGACGUAUUAACUUGCGAUAAGCCCAGAUUAGGCAGUAAAAGCCACUUGAGUCUGGGAUUUCCGAAUGGGGAAACCCACUAGCAUAAGCUAGUAUCAUUAACUGAAUACAUAGGUUAAUGAAGCGAACCGGGGGAACUGAAACAUCUAAGUACCCCGAGGAAGAGAAAUCAACCGAGAUUCCGGUAGUAGCGGCGAGCGAAACCGGAUUAGCCCUUAAGUUAGUUCUGCGUUAGGUGAAGGUUCUGGAAAGUUCCGCGAUACAGGGUGAUAGCCCCGUAACCAACAACGCUUUAUUAGUGAAAUCGAGUAGGACGGGACACGUGAUAUCCUGUUUGAACAUGGGGGGACCAUCCUCCAAGGCUAAAUACUCCUGACUGACCGAUAGUGAACCAGUACCGUGAGGGAAAGGCGAAAAGAACC
rnacentral:rRNA from 1 species